GGAACUAACAAGGAAUCCCCUAGUAGCGGCGAGCGAAGCGGGAAGAGCUCAAAUUUAUAAUCUGGCACCUUCGGUGUCCGAGUUGUAAUCUCUAGAAAUGUUUUCCGCGUUGGACCGCACACAAGUCUGUUGGAAUACAGCGGCAUAGUGGUGAGACCCCCGUAUAUGGUGCGGACGCCCAGCGCUUUGUGAUACAUUUUCGAAGAGUCGAGUUGUUUGGGAAUGCAGCUCAAAUUGGGUGGUAAAUUCCAUCUAAAGCUAAAUAUUGGCGAGAGACCGAUAGCGAACAAGUACCGUGAGGGAAAGAUGAAAAGCACUUUGGAAAGAGAGUUAACAGUACGUGAAAUUGUUGGAAGGGAAACGCUUGAAGUCAGACUUGCUUGCCGAGCAAUCGGUUUGCAGGCCAGCAUCAGUUUUCCGGGAUGGAUAAUGGUAGAGAGAAGGUAGCAGUUUCGGCUGUGUUAUAGCUCUCUGCUGGAUACAUCUUGGGGGACUGAGGAACGCAGUGUGCCUUUUGGCGGGGGUUUCGACCUCUUCACACUUAGGAUGCUGGUGGAAUGGCUUUAAACGACCCGG
rnacentral:rRNA from 1 species